rnacentral:misc_RNA from 1 species
GAAGAUCAGUAAUUAUCCUAUAAUUUAUCCAAAUUGUCAUACUUGAGCCCUGCAGAGUUAUCAAAUUUACAAAUCAUAUCCAUUGGCAUUGUGAAUGAGGUGGGGCUACAACUUUCAAUUUUCAAAACCCCUGAACCUAUUUUGCUAAAGCUUAGUCCAUCAUCUACUGUCACUUAGUUAACGAACAGCUGAUUCCAAAACUAUGCAAGAUAUGGGGAAAAUGUCAGAUGAAAGUCAGAAAGCCAACAGAAGAAUAAUGUUCUCUUGAUACACGCUUCUUUGGAUAAUUUUUUGAUCCAAUGGUGUAAAUGAUUACUGCUCUAGAUCUCCAAUGUAGAAGUCAUCAAUCAUGUCAAAAACUCUGGUAGCAUGUUGUGGCCCAUAAAAUCCUUCAGUUGAAUCAUCCCCAGCGUGUGUUAGAAUGGCAUCGCCACCAGGUUGUUCUUCUACGUAUGAGGUAACAUCAUACACCUUAUCCUUGAUAAUGAUCCAACACUCAGCUCUAUUAUUGUGCAGGGAUACUUCAGCUUUACUGUAAACUGUGUAUGCCUAAGAACAAGAAAUAGUUUAUUCAAAACAUAUAGAGUUAAUUAACACUUACAACUAGGAUAAAUGGUAUUAGAAAGAGAAAUAGAGGCGAUUAACAUCUUUGCUACAU